rnacentral:misc_RNA from 1 species
GGCAAGUGUGGGUCAUCGUUGUCGAUUCUGCUGUCGCUAUUGUUGUCGCCAUCGCCGAUUCCGUCGUGAUUUGGAGGCGUGAGUGGGCUCGAAACCGCUGUCUACGAGGAUUUUAUUCAAUUCAAGAGUUGGCAGUUGGGAUUCAUAUUCAAAGCUCGGGUGAAGUUUCAAGUUCCAGUUUAAGCGAACAUUUUAGGGAUUGAUUUAAGUUUCUAUUAGGCAAGGAAUAAGUUAAAUUUGCUGGUGUUUUGAGCUCAAGCUUGAGGUAAGUAACAAUUUAGUUACGCAAGCAAGUUGUUUUUCUAGGCUACCUCGAAUUUAUUUGUCAUCUAUGAGUUAAUGUAAAUGCCUGUAAUAUUUAUGACUAAA